rnacentral:tRNA from 1 species
GGCGGGGUAGCUCAGUUGGUUAGAGCAGCGGAAUCAUAAUCCGCAUGUCGGGGGUUCAAGUCCCUCUCCCGCUACCA